UAUAAGAGAUUUUGAGUUUUUACAUGCAACGUUUGAACACUCGUCUUAUUUAAAAUUUUUGAAAUUAUUAUUUAUUUUAUUUGUGACUUACUUUAUUAUCUACAGUACUUUAAGACAACUUUUCAUUUUUUAUAUUUGUAAAAAAAAAUUUGAAUAAGACGAGUGGUCAAAUGUUGCAAGCAAAAACUCAAAAUCCCUUAUA
rnacentral:pre_miRNA from 1 species